GGAAGCCGGGUUACGGUGCCCAACUGCGCGCUAACCUAGAACCCACAAAGGGUGUUGGUCGAUUAAGACAGCAGGACGGUGGUCAUGGAAGUCGAAAUCCGCUAAGGAGUGUGUAACAACUCACCUGCCGAAUCAACUAGCCCCNNNNNNGGAUGGCGCUGAAGCGCGCGACCCCAACCCGGCCAUCUGGGCGAGCGCCAUGCCCCGAUGAGUAGGAGGGCGCGGC
rnacentral:ncRNA from 1 species